rnacentral:rRNA from 1 species
CCUACGGGAGGCAGCAGGAGGGAAUCUUCCACAAUGGGCGCAAGCCUGAUGGAGCAACACCGCGUGAGUGAAGAAGGGUUACGGAUCGUAAAGCUCUGUUGGUGGAGAAGAACGUGCGUGAGAGUAACUGUUCCCGCAGUGACGGUAUCAAACCAGAAAGUCACGGCUUACUACGUGCCAGCAGCCGCGGUAAUACGUAGGUGGCAAGCGUUAUCCGGAUUUAUUGGGCGGAAAGAGGGCGAAGGCGGUUGCUUAGGUCUGAUGUUAAAGCCUUCGGCUUAACCGCAGAAGUGCAUCGGAAACCGGUCAACUUGAGUGCAGCAGAGGACAGUGGAACUCCAUGUGUAGCG